UGAAACUAAUCUCCCCGUGAAGAAGCGGGGAUACCACCAUAAGACGAGAAGACCCCAUGGAGCUUUAAACCCAACUACACCCCUACUUUCCAUAUCCGCUCAACCAACAGGGCCCUGUACGCUUGGUUUUAGGUUGGGGUGACCACGGAGUAAAAUUAAACCUCCACGAUGAACGGGAAUACCCUCUUAUCUAAGAGCCACACCUCUAAGAAUUAGUAUACUAACAUAAAAUGAUCCGAUACUCGAUCAACGAACCAAGUUACCCUGGGGAUAACAGCGCAAUCCAUUUCAAGAGCCCCUAUCGACAAAUGGGUUUACGACCUCGAUGUUGGAUCAGGAUACCCCAGUGGUGCAGCAGCUACUAAAGGUUCGUUUGUUCAACGAUUAAAAUCCU
rnacentral:rRNA from 1 species